UGAUGUCUUGGCUGGCAGACAGGUCCUAUUAUUAGGUCAUAUUAUUAUGUCCUAUUAUUAGCAGGCUCCUCUACAGCAGAUAGAAAUACUUCUCCACAGCAAGUAGGCUACUCAGAACAGCUAGGCUGCUCUCCUGACUGGGUCCUGGAGAUCCAAUGGGGGAAUCACAGACUCCAUGUGGGAUGCAGAAAUUGGAAGAGAACUUUCCCAUGCAACAAUGUCUCUGGAAAACUUCGACAUUAUUUCCAUGAUUAUCUGCUUCGAUAACCGAGACACCAGACCAGCUCGGAGGCAGAGAGACAAGCUAGCUACAAUCAGGUCAGUGCAGAGAGACCAGCUAGCUGCUAUCAAGUCAGUGCAGAGAGACAAGCUAGCUGCUAUCAGGUCAGUGCAGAGAGACAAGCUAGCUGCUAUCAGGUCAGUGCAGAGAGACAAGCUAGCUGCUAUCAGGUCAGUGCAGAGAGACAAGCUAGCUGCUAUCAGGUCAGUGUAGAGAGACAAGCUAGCUCCUAUCAGGUCAGUGUAGAGAGACAAGCUAGCUGCUAUCAGGUCAGUGCAGAGAGACAAGCUAGCUGCUAUCAGGUCAGUGUAGAGAGACAAGCUAGCUGCUAUCAGGUCAGUGUAGAGAGACAAGCUAGCUGCUAUCAGGUCAGUGCAGAGAGACAAGCUAGCUGCUAUCAGGUCAGUGCAGAGAGACCAGCUAGCUGCUAUCAGGUCAGUGUAGAGAGACAAGCUAGCUGCUAUCAGGUCAGUGUAGAGAGACAAGUGGGUGGACUGCCUUCCCCUGUCUUUACAACCCU